AGUGAAGAAAAUACACUCAGAUAUCACGAUGAAAAACUCAGAAAGGCAUCCGAUCUAGAUCGGAAUCGUCAUCGACCACAAAGUCUCAGAAAUACCCCCAAAAAUCUCAAAGGAGACUUCAACCAAGACAACGAGAUGCAGAAAAACAUAGUCGGAUCGUCGUCUAGGUUCUGAUGCCAUGAAAACUUUGACAUUAAACUGAAGAAACAUGGAGAAUGUAGUGAGAGAAUUUAGAGAGAAGGAGGAGCGCCUGAGAGAACUCUCUAGAAGAGAGAGAGUUUAUUAAUCAGAAAUGAAAACAAAAUGAAAUCCGUCCCAAAAUAUCUGCCCCUAAGCCUAUAUAUGUACAAUACUGAUGGGUCGGGUCGGGUGAUCCGGCCCAAAGCUAAAUAAGUGAAUGUGGGCUCAGAUAUAUGAUCAUCAUAAGGUCGGAUGAUCCGGCCUAAAGCUAAAUAAGUGAAUGUGGGCUCAGAUAUAUGAUCAUCAUAGCCCAUUACAUAAUUAUACCAUGAGUAUACAGUAGAUAUACAAUGAGUAUACAAUGAAUGUGUCACUUAUCCUUUGGCUUGGAGGCCAUAUACUCUCUCAUCUC
rnacentral:lncRNA from 1 species